rnacentral:lncRNA from 1 species
AUGGUUGUUGUCACCUGGAGGUUAAAAUCCAAAAAUCAGUCUUCACAAACACAGGUGACAACAGGUGAAGAUUCAAAAACAGAAGAUGAGACUAUUCAUUACGGGGAGAUCAACUUCUCCAGCCGAAGAUCUAAACCAUCACCUGACUCACAUGAGCAGCAGCAGGACACAGUGUACGCUCAGGUCAGCGUGUCUGGGAGAGGAAACCCGUUAAGGCAGGCUGCAGGUGGCCAGGACGACAUCUAUGCUCAAAUUAAUUAAAAGGCAGUUAUGAUGAGUGCUUGAAUAUAUGGAUUGUAUUUAUUUUUAUAGUCUGUUCCUCUUGCUACAGAUGACCACAGAGAAACCAAAAGCACUUUGUCUCACUCUCAUCCAGCAGCUUUGCUGGACCAAAGCAGUGAAUAACACAUUCCUGAUGAUUAAAUCCACUUCAGAUUGUUUAAUGUGUGUUUCCACAAAAGUCUUACUUUAUGGGAAAAAGAGAACAAACUUUGAAGUUUUUGGAGCACAACAGGUUUCACAUUCUGGCUAAUGAAGACAAAUGGUUUGAGUCAUGUACAUUAAAGAAUGACCAUAAGAGACAUUGAUCCAGGACUUUAUUUAUCAGCCACCUGUGAUGCAGUCAGAACCGCUUCAUCAAGCUGUUCAACACCGAUUGACAUGAUUUGAUAUUAAUGACCUACAUUCUUCCCACUAGCUUGACAGAUGUGACAUGCUCAUGAAGCUCCUGUAAAUCCAGUCAUCACAUUCCUACAGUUAGGAACAAGAGAUUAUCAGUCAAGACAAGUCAAUUAUCUCUAUAUACUCUUCCUGAAAGAGCGAAACUGCCUAUCACACAUGGCAUGCAGCCCAGCAAAGCACAAAAAAACAGUAACAUUUGAUACAUGUAGCACUGAAAUGCAGCUAUUUGUAGAUGUUUGUGUUCAAUGGUAAAAUCGUAACAGUAGUUUUCAACAGUUGUUAACAAACAGUUGAUAGCAGCUUAAAUUCAAAAACACAAGGUAAUUUUUCUUUUAAAUAAAAGACCAAUGUCAAAGGAUAUUGAUGAAGAU